GCACGGAAGGCCCUGCGGCUGCGGAGGAGGCGGCGACUUUAAGGAGAACAGGGAGGAUGCUGUAACGUUCUUGGGAGGGAGAAAGCGGUGCCUGGGGCUUCCGAGAGCGGAGCAGGAUCACUUCAGCAGCGGUGUGAAGGAGGGACCGGAGUUGGCAUGCCCUACAAAUACGCGGCGUGCUUGGCCCCGAGGAGGUUUGAGAACAAGUAGAGGAAAAGAAAAAGACCCUGGGAGACAUCUGUCCUUCGAAGGAAGAGAAAUUUGAAAGGAAAAGCAUGUUUGCCGUUCCUGGUAAAAAAUUAACAUGAAUAGCUCAUCCCAAGGAGAAAUCACUCUGCAUUCUUAACUGACGCCUAAUGACAAUGAUGCUGCUCUUCAGUUGGCCUUCAUCUGAGUCUCCCUGCAGGACGACUUCCCUUCCAGCCACCGCAGAGCCGCUGCUCUGGCGCUCCGGAAGCCUUGCUCCAUGAGGAGUGGUGUGAAUGGUAUUUACCGGCCAAGGAGGGAAGUCCUGCUCAUCUUGGUGAUGGUCCAAGAUCAUUCACGUUGCGGAGUCUUCUGAUAUUAUUUUGUUCCAUUGCCUGUCACAUAGUGUAGAAGAAAGAGAAAGGACUUGGAAAUGGGCAAAGUCUAUUCAGUUCUCACUAUGCAGCUUCCUCAAGAUGUCCUGGGUAGGAAAAGAGAUGCGGCUUUGUUUCAUCGUGCUCUCUUUGCUUUUCAUGGUAAGUGAUUUUUUUACUCUUGACAGGACUGUCUAUAAAUGAACCCAACUGACUUUUCAUUUAUGACAAGGAGAAUUUCCACAAGAGGGGGGAAAAUCCGUCAAUCUGUUUAUUCUUAUUUAAUGAAAGGAAUGGAAUCUGAUUGAAGAGCCAUCACAAAGGGAAUGACAUCAGAGUUCCAGAAUUCUCUGCUUCAUGGUAGAAGUGCUCUGGAACCUGCG